rnacentral:rRNA from 1 species
GACGAACGCUGGCGGCGUGCCUAACACAUGCAAGUAGAACGCAGUUGCGAACGGGCGAGUAACGAAUAGGUAACUGCCUGCUCGUGGGGGAGAACCAUUGGAAACGAUCGCUAAUACCUACUACGACCAGAUGUAUCUCCGUUGUAUUAGCUAGUUGGUGGGGUAACGGCUCACCAAGGCAACGAUACAUAGCCGGCCUGAGAGGGGGAUCGGCCAAACUGGGACUGAGACACGGGCCAGACUCCUACGGGAGGCAGCAGUAGGGAAUCUUCGGCAAUGGACGGAAGUCUGACCGAGCAACGCCGCGUGAGUGAAGAAGGUUUUCGGAUCGUAAAGCUCUGUUGAAAGGGAAGCGGUAUCUUACCAGAAAGCGACGGCUAACUACGUGCCAGCAGCCGCGGUAAUAC